rnacentral:sRNA from 1 species
CUUUUUAUUAUGUUUUCUGUGAUUUAUUCUUCAACGUCUUCUUAGAGAAUUCGACUUUGGAAAUAUAUUACUAUCAAUUAAUAUCCUUUCUGAGUACUACAUGCAGAUACCCAGUUCCUCUGAGUGAAUACCAUUGAAUGAAUAGAGGCAAAUUUUUUAGUUAUAUCAUUUGACUAAUCAACAAAUCAAUACUAAGGAACUGAUUGGAAGCUUUUUGAAUGUGGGAAGGGCAUACCGCCUUAUAGGUAUCAGUGGUCUAUCAGGGAAACUGAACAGCCAAGACUCCUAUAACAAUUUUACCAACAACAACCCUGGCAACCCUCGGCUCUCUCCUCUUCCCAGCUUGAUGGUAGUGAUGCCUCUUGCACAAAUCAAGCAGCCGAUGACAUUGGGGACCAUCACCAAACGAACCGGCAAAGUUAAACCUCCUCCACAAAUUUCACCCAGCAAAUCGAUGGGCGGAGAAUUUUGUGUGGCUGCUAUCUUCGGAACAUCCAGGUCAUGGUUUGCAAAUAAUGCAGGUCUGAAAAGAGAAAAAGAUCAGUCCAAACAAG